UUGCCGACCACAGCCAAGAGUUUGAUUUUUAUUCUAAGUACGAUGGGAAACGUUGGAGCACUUUGAACAGGGAGAUAUGAUCUAAUCCACAUUUUUGAACAUAGCCCUUCACUACAUAGAGAAGAAAUACACAGAAGCAGAAAUGGAAGCAGGGAGACCUAUUGUAAGGCUACUGCAGUGACCCAGGUAGAAACAUGGGAAACCACAUUCAAAUCAAAGGAUUGCUUGGGGAGUUGGAAUCAGAAAAAGAGAAUGAAUGAUUCAAACGUCACCUGCGUGGAGGAGGGGAAGCAAGACAGACCGGUCUGAUAUUGGCUGGAUUGGAAGGGGGAGGGUGAAGACCUGCAAGAAAGACUCCCUUUUUCCCUCUUAUACUCCCCUCCAUGAACACAUGCUGCCCAAAGCAUCGUGAGUCCCCCAGCUGCGGGCAAACCAUCGCAGAGGUCUCUUGGGGAGAGCAGGCCUGAUGUUACCUCCCGGAGAGUCAGAAGGACGUGCGUGGGGCGGAAGGAAUGGGAGAGGGUGGAGGCCAAAGGGCUGAAUAUUAACAGUGGCUAUCAUCACCAGCUCUUAACAUAAUGGAAAAGCCCUUUGCAGGGCAACGCCGGGGCUGGCCUCCCACAGAAACGCAAUCUCCUGGAACGCAGAGUGGGCAGUGACAAGCAGUUUAUCUUCCAUUACUCCGAGGCCUUAAAUCAUUAUCAACUGAAGCCAGCAAAGGAACCACAUCACUGCCUCCGAUUAGGAUGGUCCCUUAUCUUCCUAGCGAACGUAAAUAGGCACACCAUUAAGGUGCAUUUCUGUGGGUUGCAUUGUAUCAGUUUCCUAAAAAGGAUAUGUUGAAGUCCUAACUCCCGAUAUUCCAGAAUAUAACCUUAUUGGGAAAGCAGGUCCUUACAGAGGUAAUCAAAUUAAAAUGAGGUCCUCAGGGUGGACCUUAAUCUAAUAGGAUUGGGUAUCCUUAUAAAACAGGGAAAUUUGCACACGGAGACACACAGACAGGAACACCAUGGGAACAUGAAGGCAGAGAUGAGAGUAAAAUUUCCAUGAACUAAAGAAUGCCCAAGAUUGCCAGCAAACACCAGAAACUGGGGGAAAGUCCUGGGCAGGUUCUCCCUCUCAGCUCUCAGAAGGAGCCAACCCUGCCGACAUUUUGAUCUCAUGUUUCCAGCCUCCAGACUGUGAGAUAAUAAAUUUCUGUUG